GGGCCGUUAGCUCAGGUGGUAUAGCAGCUGCCUUUUAAGCAGCGGGCCGCUGGUUCGAGUCCAGCACGGCCCA
rnacentral:tRNA from 1 species